rnacentral:rRNA from 1 species
AUUGAACGCUGGCGGAAUGCUUUACACAUGCAAGUCGAACGGCAGCACGGACUUCGGUCUGGUGGCGAGUGGCGAACGGGUGAGUAAUAUAUCGGAACGUGCCCAGUCGUGGGGGAUAACGUAGCGAAAGCUACGCUAAUACCGCAUACGAUCUACGGAUGAAAGCGGGGGAUCGCCAGACCUCGCGCGAUUGGAGCGGCCAAUAUCAGAUUAGGUAGUUGGUGAGGUAAAGGCUCACCAAGCCGACGAUCUGUAGCUGGUCUUAGAGGACGACCAGCCACACUGGGACUGAGACACGGCCCAGACUCCUACGGGAGGCAGCAGUGGGGAAUUUUGGACAAUGGACGCAAGUCUGAUCCAGCCAUUCCGCGUGCAGGACGAAGGCCUUCGGGUUGUAAACUGCUUUUGUACAGAACGAAAAGGUCUCUAUUAAUACUAGGGGCUCAUGACGGUACUGUAAGAAUAAGCACCGGCUAACUACGUGCCAGCCGCCGCCGUAA